rnacentral:lncRNA from 1 species
CUGAAAAGAGCAGCAGCUCCGGAGCAAGGCCGGGCUCCGGAGGCAGCGCGAGCAAAUCAACUCGACAAGUGCCUUCACAGGAGUCAGGGCGGGGGGAGCUGGGGAAAAGCCAAACAAAAGCCCCUCCAAAUGUCUGUUUUGAUUUGAGCAGGUUUUCCUGGAAUGUCUCAUCACACCAAGGAACAAUGUGGCCGGCGAGGAGGAGGCUUUGGGAGAAGGUUCCAGCCCGGCAGCGCGGGGAGCGACGCCGCGGUGCCGGGCCCGGCUGCACGCGAUGUCACACGGCUGAAAGCAGCACUUUUUGCCCCAAACUGAGCCACAACCCCGAUGGCAUCGAUGUGAGGCGGGAGGAACUCGUGGAGUUUCCUCACUGAAGCACGAGGGAUGUGCUGGAGCUUUCCCUUUCAUCCCAGCAGAGAAACCUCCCAGUGAAGGGUUCCAUGAGGUACUGGGAUGGAAACCAGGUUCUUACGGAGAUGAUGUUCCCAGCCAGGCUCUGGGCCGUGCUCAGACAUUUCCGUGUUUCCCUGCUCCUCUUGCCGCUUGCUUGGAUUCUUUCCUGGGCUUCCAGAGGUUGAUUUGCACUUCUUCCAGGGAACAAAUAUUUUUUUGGGUUGUUUGGAGGUAAGUUUUUCUCCUGGGAUGCUCACAGGUACUGCUCUGGUUUGUCUCAUUUUUGUGGGAAAGGCUGGUCUGAGCCUCUCCAA